rnacentral:rRNA from 1 species
UACGAGGGGGGCGAGCGUCGUUCGGAAUUAUUGGGCGUAAAGGGUGCGUAGGCGGUUUGGUAAGUCUGAUGUGAAAUCUAUGGGCUCAACUCAUAGUCUGCAUCGGAAACUGCCGGGCUUGAGUGUGGGAGAGGUGAGUGGAAUUCCUGGUGUAGCGGUGAAAUGCGUAGAUAUCAGGAGGAACACCUGUGGCGAAAGCGGCUCACUGGACCAUAACUGACGCUGAUGCACGAAAGCUAGGGGAGCAAACAGG